rnacentral:rRNA from 1 species
UGGGGAAUUUUGGACAAUGGGCGCAAGCCUGAUCCAGCCAUGCCGCGUGCGGGAAGAAGGCCUUCGGGUUGUAAACCGCUUUUGUCAGGGAAGAAAUCUUCUGAGUUAAUACCUCGGGAGGAUGACGGUACCUGAAGAAUAAGCACCGGCUAACUACGUGCCAGCAGCCGCGGUAAUACGUAGGGUGCAAGCGUUAAUCGGAAUUACUGGGCGUAAAGCGUGCGCAGGCGGUUUUGUAAGACAGAGGUGAAAUCCCCGGGCUCAACCUGGGAACUGCCUUUGUGACUGCAAGGCUUGAGUGCGGCAGAGGGGGGAUGGAAUUCCGCGUGUAGCAGUGAAAUGCGUAGAUAUGCGGAGGAACACCGAUGGCGAAGGCAAUCCCCUGGGCCUGCACUGACGCUCAUGCACGAAAGCGUGGGGAGCAAACAGGAUUAGAUACCCUGGCAGUCCACGCCCUAAACGAUGUCAACUGGUUGUUGGGAAGGUUCCUUCUCAGUAACGUAGCUAACGCGUGAAGUUGACCGCCUGGGGAGUACGGCCGCAAGGUUG